GCAAUUACCCACUCCCGGCACGGGGAGGUAGUGACGAAAAAUAACGAUACGGGACUCAUCCGAGGCCCCGUAAUCGGAAUGAGUAUACUCUAAAUCCUUAUACGAGUAUCAAUUGGAGGGCAAGUCUGGUGCCAGCAGCCGCGGUAAUUCCAGCUCCAAUAGCGUAUAUUAAAGUUGUUGCGGUUAAAAAGCUCGUAGUUGGAUCUGUGUCCCGCACCGUCGGUUCACCGCCUGUCGGUGUUCAACUGGCGUGUAUGCGGAACGUCCUGCCGGUGGCGGUCCGGGGCCCAGUUGGUACGUAGGGGUCGUCCUUGCCUUGCUUGCGUCGUCCCCGAAGGCCUUCAGGUGUCUCCGGCCGCCUUUCGAUCCCGUCGCGGUGCUCUUCACCGAGUGUCGAGGCGGGCCGGCACGUUUACUUUGAACAAAUUAGAGUGCUUUAAGCAGGCCCUGUCCCGCCUGUAUGUUGUGUGCAUGGAAUAAUGGAAUAGGACCUCGGUUCUAUUUUGUUGGUUUUCGGAAUCUGAGGUAAUGAUCAAUGGGGACAGGCGGGGGCAUUCGUAUUGCGACGUUAGAGGUGAAAUUCUUGGAUCGUCGCAAGACGGACCGAAGCGAAAGCAUUUGCCAAGUAUGUUCUCGUCGAUCAAGAACGAAAGUUAGAGGUUCGAAGGCGAUCAGAUACCGCCCUAGUUCUAACCAUAAACUAUGCCUGCCAGCGAUCCGCCGAAGUUCCUCCGAUGACUCGGCGGGCAGCUUCCGGGAAACCAGAGCUUUUGGGUUCCGGGGGAAGUAUGGUUGCAAAGCUGAAACUUAAAGGAAUUGACGGAAGGGCACCACCAGGAGUGGAGCCUGCGGCUUAAUUUGACUCAACACGGGAAAACUCACCAGGCCCGGACACCGGAAGGAUUGACAGAUUGAGAGCUCUUUCUUGAUUCGGUGGGUGGUGGUGCAUGGCCGUUCUUAGUUGGUGGAGCGAUUUGUCUGGUUAAUUCCGAUAACGAACGAGACUCUAGCCUACUAACUAGGCGUACCCGGUAUCCACAAUCGUGCUACCGGCGAUCAUAUUUCUUCUUAGAGGGACAGGCGGCUUCUAGCCGCACGAGACUGAGCAAUAACAGGUCUGUGAUGCCCUUAGAUGUCCUGGGCCGCACGCGCGCUACACUGAAGGAAUCAGCGUGUCUUCCCUGUCCGAAAGGACCGGGUAACCCGCUGAACCUCCUUUGUGCUAGGGAUUGGGGCUUGCAAUUGUUCCCCAUGAACGAGGAAUUCCCAGUAAGCGCGAGUCAUAAGCUCGCGUUGAUUACGUCCCUGCCCUUGUAC
rnacentral:rRNA from 1 species